rnacentral:rRNA from 1 species
AUGUCAGAGAAAGUAAAAGCAGAGCAUCAGAAGUCAGCAGGAUUAUUGCAGCCUAUGCUAAUACCUGAAUGGAAGCAGGAUAAGCUUGGCAUGGAUUUCAUUACCAGAUUUCCCAGAACCCGAACGGGAUAUGAUUCUAUCUGGGUAAUAGUUUAUUCGCUUGAUCAAAGUGGCUCGCUUUAUCCCAGAGAGAACCACCUAUACAAGUGCGAAGUUGGCCAAGAUAUAUAUUUGAGAAAGGAUCGUAUGUCUGCAUGGAGUUCCGAGGACCAUCGUAGAGGAACGCAGUUUUCCUCAAAGUUUUGGAAUCAGCUGCACCAGACUUUGGGUACUAGGCUAGAGUUCGGUACAGCCUUUCAUCCGCAGACAGAUGGAUAA